AUUUUUCUUCGUUGAAUUUGUUUUUGUUAAUUUGACUUUGAUUAUCAGAUCUGUCUCGGAUCAACACCGUUGAUUAGUGGUUGAGACUAAAAGGUUUCGAUUUGGGUAAAUAACUGGAUCUGGAUUUUCCUUCUUUUUUUUCCUUCUUGGUGUCGAUUCGAGCUUCACAGUUUAAUUCCUGAGUUCAGGGGUCCUUAUCAAAAAGCCCAUGAAAAGUCUCUACCAAGGUAUUAUUUAAUUUAAGUCGGUGGAGUUUUGAUUUAUGUGAAAUAUGGUUUGGUUUUACUGAUUUUAAGUAGCUAAAAUGUUAGUUAGAUUAUUCGAUUAUCGUGGUUAGUUAACAAAAAGGAAGAUCAUACUUUCAGAUUCCAAUUAAAAAUGCUUCAAAAAUGUUGUUGGCUUUGUUAUUUUAAACUUACGUGAUAGAUUUUGUGGUACAAACAUAGACAUUAAGCAUCAUUAGUGUACCAUCUCAAACAGCAUUUGGUACUGGGUAC